AAGUUCGACGGGGGCCCGCACAGCGGUGGAGCAUGUGGUUUAAUUCGACGCAACGCGAAGAACCUUACCAGCCCUUGACAUGGGAAGUAUGGGCCGCAGAGACGCGGUCCUUCAGUUCGGCUGGCUUCCACACAGGUGCUGCAUGGCUGUCGUCAGCUCGUGUCGUGAGAUGUUGGGUUAAGUCCCGCAACGAGUGCAACCCCCGCCUUCAGUUGCCAACGGUUCGGCCGUGCACUCUGGAGGAACUGCCUGUGACAAGCAGGAGGAAGGUGGGGAUGACGUCAAGUCCUCAUGGCCCUUAUGGGCUGGGCUACACACGUGCUACAAUGGCGGUGACAGAGGGAUGCAAUACCGCGAGGUGGAGCAAAUCCCUAAAAGCCGUCUCAGUUCGGAUUGUUCUCUGCAACUCGAGAGCAUGAAGUUGGAAUCGCUAGUAAUCGCGGAUCAGCUCGCCGCGGUGAAUACGUUCCCGGGCCUU
rnacentral:rRNA from 1 species